rnacentral:tRNA from 3 species
CGGAUGUANCCAAGUGGAUCAAGG